ACAGAAACCACUGAAGACAAUACCUGGAAAAUGGCAGUUUUGGAAAUAACUUUGGCUGUCAUCCUGACUCUACUGGGACUUGCCAUUCUGGCUAUUUUAUUAACAAGAUGGACACGGCGCAAGCAAAAUGAAAUUGAUGUCUCAAGAUACAGUUCAGAACAAAGU